rnacentral:lncRNA from 1 species
UGGUGCGUUUGAAUUUCUAAUAUGAUCUUGUUAGUAAAUUAAUAUUAUCUCAUACAAAUUCGAUGGGUUCUGAUUUACAUGAUGUUGUGGUGUUUAUUUUUGUUUGAGAAGAAGAGUCACCAGUUCAACCAAAGUUCCUUGAAAUUUUUGGUUGUUCUGGGUUAAGCCGUCUUCUGUGUUCUUCCAUACACGGUACACGUUCCACGGCUACGCAAUUU